rnacentral:rRNA from 1 species
AUUGAACGCUGGCGGCAGGCUUAACACAUGCAAGUCGAGCGAGCGGCGGACGGGUGAGUAAUGUCUGGGAACCUGCCUGGUAGAGGGGGAUAACUACUGGAAACAGUGGCUAAUACCGCAUACUAUCCGAUGGGCCCAUAUGGGAUUAGCUAGUUGGUGGGGUAAAGGCUCACCUAGGCGACGAUCCCUAGCGGGUCUGAGAGGAUGAUCAGCCACACUGGGACUGAGACACGGCCCAGACUCCUACGGGAGGCAGCAGGGGGGAAUUUUGCACAAUGGGCGCAAGCCUGAUGCAGCCAUGCCGCGUGUCGGAAGAAGGCCUUCGGGUUGUAAAGCACUUUCAUCGGGGAGGCGUUACCCGCAGAAGAAGCACCGGCUAACUCCGUGCCAGCCGCCGCGGUAAUAC